rnacentral:lncRNA from 10 species
AACAAGCCAGCCUCAACUGCUUGAGCUAAGAGCAAGCUCAGUGUUUCCUUCAAGCAGCAUCGUGGACAGAUUCCUGCCAGACCCUUCAGAGCAAGCACCCCACACCCCUAGCCCAGGGUCUCUUCAUCGAUAGGGGGUGAUCUGUCUGCCCCUCACUGUUUUCUCCAAAUAGCAUCUCCAAAUGGACUAGACUCGACAAGCAAACAGUCUGCAGUGGACCCCUUGGGUCAUCCAUUCUGAUGGAAACAGAAAUAGAAUUCCAGCCCGGUGGAGUGGAGAAGGCUCCAGGAGGGCGUCGGGCCCAACCACCUUGCGUUAUGGAGCACAGAGAGGGAUUCUGCUGUGGUCACAUAGCACCUAAGUGGUUGCAGCAGCCUCAGAACAGGCUGUCCUGCCUGAGUCGUUCCUCGUGAUCACUGCUGGCGUUUCUCCUGCUGGCCUUCAUGGCAAGGCUGAUGGCCAGGGCACACAGGAGCAACGGCACUGCUGGUCUAGCAAGUACCACUCUCUGGCCUGCUCCACAGCCCGGCCACAGCAAGGGAGAGAUAAGAUCUCACUAUAUUGCCCUGGCUGGUCUCAAACUCCCGUGUUCAAGUCAUCUGCCUGCCUCGACCUCCUAAAGGGCAAGCGGGAUUACAGCCUUCUCCACAGCCCAGCCACAGUGAGGGAGUCAUCAGCACUGGAACCCGGGGUCCACGGCCUUGGAGGAUCCGGACCCUCCGCAUUUGAGGAACUUGGCCUUCAGUCAGGGAGCCAAGAAGUCCCUGCCAAUCAAGGAGGGGGUGUGGGCUGGUGGGGGGGGGGCAGCCUUGGGGCACGGGAGCUGAUAGACCAGACUCAAGAGUUCUACUCCUGACUUCUAGAUUGUUCCACCUCCAUAUGGAAUAUGUUCCUUCCAUCUAACACUGUGUGAUUUGGGGACCAUCCAACUCAAAUGAAAGAAGCCAAGCCAUGCAGCGAGCCACCCCCUCCCCAAUGUGGGGUACCCCCUGCCCCCGCCCAGCUCCCCUGCCCUCCCAGCUGAGGGGGGAUCGCCGCCUGGUGAUCUCAGCCUCCCCUCCAAGUGGGCUGUGAAGUGUCUAAUCCAGGCUUUCAUCUGGCAUCCACAAUUAUAAUGUCAAGAUUGAAUAAUCUGCCUUUAUCUCCCGGGUGACAGCCAUGUAGAAACUUCAAAAGAAACAGUUUUGCUGGCAUCUAACGGCUUUUGUUAAUUACUAUAUCCCAAAGAAAAUGAAAUAAAGGAGGGAGAAAAAUGAUAUUUCUCUGUGACAACUUUGUAAAAAUAUCAGUGAUGAAGUGGUGCGGUUUAAGGGCUUUAAGUAUUCAUGCGGCUGAGAUGGGGCCUCUACCCUCCCGCUGGGAAGCUUAAGCGUGCCCGAGGGUGCAUGCACACACACACUCACACACUC